rnacentral:rRNA from 1 species
UACGUAGGGUCCAAGCGUUAAUCGGAAUUACUGGGCGUAAAGCGCGUGUAGGUGGUUCUGUAAGUAGGGCGUGAAAGCUCCCGGCUCAACUGGGAGAGGCCGUUCUAAACUGCAGAGCUAGAGGAUGGUAGAGGGAGGUGGAAUUCCAGGUGUAGCGGUGGAAUGCGCAGAUAUCUGGAGGAACACCAGUGGCGAAGGCGGCCUCCUGGACCAUUCCUGACACUCAGACGCGAAAGCUAGGGUAGCAAACGGGAUUAGAUACCCCGGUAGUCCCU